UCAUUUUCCCUUACGCAUGGACUUCGGCGCGCUUCUUUCCCUAGGGUUUCUCUGAUCUCAUCUCCUUCUCCUUCGGAGCAUCCCCUCAUCGCACGAUCAACGGACUCUACUGAGUCGCACACUCGCCUCGGACGGUUUUCCCUCACCAGAAGCAAAGAAUAUCCGCGAUCCAGUAAGGGUAUUUCAGCUUCUGCUCUGCCCUACAAGAGGACUCGUUUGAGCUGGCUCAAGAUUUCUUCUCAAGAUGUAAGAACAUUUUCAGCUGCGUUUGUUUGUUUUUGUGGGAUAAUGGGUAGUUUGUAGCUAUCGCCUUCCUCUCAGGAUCUGGUAUAAGAUGUUUUUGUAAGGUACUUGAUGCAAGUAACUUAUUGCGUUCUACUGUAAAUGUUUCUAUUAUGGAGCAAGUUAUGGUAUUUUGUCAUAUCAUUGGACAUAAUGUGAGGUUUUCCCCUCUCUUUUUUUAUUUCCUCUUGUUUGAUUAGAGGAGUUCAAUGGAGCUUUUACUCAGA